rnacentral:rRNA from 1 species
CUCUUAGGCAAAUCCGGGAUCACUUACGCCGAGCACCGAGACGAGUCCUAUGAGGACGAAGUGACUGACACCACGCUUCCAGGAAAAGCCACUAAGCUUCAGCUUAAGAAAAACCGUACCGCAAACCGACACAGGUAGGCAGGGUGAGAAUCCCAAGGCGCUUGAGAGAACUCGGGUGAAGGAACUAGGCAAAAUGGCACCGUAACUUCGGGAGAAGGUGCGCCCUUUGGUGUGGUCACGUGCGUGACUGAGCAUCGAAGGGUCGCAGUAACCUGGCCGCUGCGACUGUUUAUCAAAAACACAGCACUCUGCAAACACGAAAGUGGACGUAUAGGGUGUGACGCCUGCCCGGUGCUGGAAGGUUAAUUGAUGGGGUCAGCCGCAAGGCGAAGCUCUUGAUCGAAGCCCCAGUAAACGGCGGCCGUAACGAUAACGGUCCUAAGGUAGCGAAAUUCCUUGUCGGGUAAGUUCCGACCUGCACGAAUGGCGUAACGACAGCGGCGCUGUCUCCACCCGAGACUCAGUGAAAUUGAAAUCGCUGUGAAGAUGCAGCGUUCCCGCGGCAAGACGGAAAGACCCCGUGAACCUUUACUAUAGCUUUACACUGAACGUUGAGUUCUUCUGUGUAGGAUAGGUGGGAGGCUAUGAAACCAGGACGCUAGUUCUGGUGGAGCCAUCCUUGAAAUACCACCCUGAAGUGCUUGACGUUCUAACCUAGGCCCGUAAUCCGGGUCAGGGACCGUGUAUGGUGGGUAGUUUGACUGGGGCGGUCUCCUCCCAAAGAGUAACGGAGGAGCACGAAGGUACGCUCAGCGCGGUCGGACAUCGCGCACUGUGUGCAAAGGCAUAAGCGUGCUUGACUGCGAGAUCGACGGAUCAAGCAGGUACGAAAGUAGGUCUUAGUGAUCCGGUGGUUCUGUAUGGAAGGGCCAUCGCUCAACGGAUAAAAGGUACUCCGGGGAUAACAGGCUGAUACCGCCCAAGAGUUCAUAUCGACGGCGGUGUUUGGCACCUCGAUGUCGGCUCAUCACAUCCUGGGGCUGUAGCCGGUCCCAAGGGUAUGGCUGUUCGCCAUUUAAAGUGGUACGCGAGCUGGGUUCAGAACGUCGUGAGACAGUUCGGUCCCUAUCUGUCGUGGGCGUUGGAGAUUUGAGGGGGGCUGCUCCUAGUACGAGAGGACCGGAGUGGACGUUCCGCUGGUGUUCGGGUUGUCAUGCCCAUGGCAUUGCCCGGUAGCUACGAACGGAAGUGAUAACCGCUGAAAGCAUCUAAGCGGGAAGCACGCCCCAAGAUGAGAUCUCCCGAGAGCUUGACUCUCCUAAAGGCACCAUCAAGACUAGGUGGUUGAUAGGUCAGGUGUGGAAGCGCAGCAAUGCGUUGAGCUAACUGAUACUAAUGAGCCGUGAGGCUUGAUC